CCGCGUGUAGCUCAGUUGGUAGAGCAUUCCGCUGAUACCGGAAAGGUCCUAGGUUCGAUCCCUAGCACGCGGA
rnacentral:tRNA from 1 species